ACACGACACUACAAUCAGGCUGCUAAUACCAAAGAUGCAUACUGCGAAGACACCGGUUAUGCACCUUUGUCUUACAAGUAGAACAGAGAGUGUGCCCAUUGUGACACUGAUGAAUUGGAGGUUUCAUAAAAUUGGUGCAAACCGAGCAUUUGAGCGAUUCAUGGACGCUUAUGGGAUCAAAUCCACAAGAAACUGAUGACUGGAUAUCUUCAUCUUCAAUUCCAUCUGAUGAAGAUACACACUCUGUGCUAUCCAUUUCAAUUGUUGCCAUUUUGGAACAAUCUCAAAUUCCCACAUUCACAAAUCUCAGAUGCCCAAUUCCAAAAAUCCAAUCACUUGGGGAAAUUUUCCUCUUCAAAUCAUCUUCCAGUUCCAAAUAUUCAAUCUACUGCCAAAAUCCUAGAUGCCCAAUCUAGAAAUCCAACCUUUUACCAAAAAAAAAAAAAAAGGGAAAUGUUUUAGGUAUACCAACAACAGGUGACUUUUAAAAAAUUCAAAAAUUUCGUAUCUUACACGAGCUGGCAAUGAGUUCGGUUAUUGUGACGACAAAGCGGGAUGUGUGAAGACGGUUAGAGGAGAGUCGAUAGCUGGAGGAAAAUGGUGGUAGCUUAUAAGAGGCCGGACUGCUUCUAUGAAUGUUCGUACAUGCUCAAUCAGCGGUUACAACUGGAAGAAAUGGAGGCAAUGAGUGAAAGAGAGGAGAGUUUAGGGUGAGACUUACCCAUUUCAUUUUAGGGGGAAG
rnacentral:lncRNA from 1 species